GCUGAUCCGCCAUGAGAUUAGAAAUCUUGGAAUCAAAUAUCUAAACAUCAAUGAGUCGAUCCACCAUAUGCUUACCCGCCUUAAACUCAACAAUUUGAUUGCAGAGACAAAUUUUAUGUGGUUGUACACCUUGUGCUCGCAACCAUUGUGACGGGGCGGAUCUACGUUGUACUGACAUAAUUAAACUAGGAGAGUUGAUUCUUUUAAGAUGCAAGGAAGAAGUGACUUCAAACUUAGAUGGGAUGGUGUCAGAGUCGAGAUUGAAAGUGGAGAACAGGAGGUUUGGGGCGAGAUAUUAGGGGCNNNNNNNNNNNNNNNNNNNNNNNNNNNNNNNNNNNNNNNNNNNNNNNNNNNNNNNNNNNNNNNNNNNNNNNNNNNNNNNNNNNNNNNNNNNNNNNNNNNNNNNNNNNNNNNNNNNNNNNNNNNNNNNNNNNNNNNNNNNNNNNNNNNNNNNNNNNNNNNNNNNNNNNNNNNNNNNNNNNNNNNNNNNNNNNNNNNNNNNNNNNNNNNNNNNNNNNNNNNNNNNNNNNNNNNNNNNNNNNNNNNNNNNNNNNNNNNNNNNNNNNNNNNNNNNNNNNNNNNNNNNNNNNNNNNNNNNNNNNNNNNNNNNNNNNNNNNNNNNNNNNNNNNNNNNNNNNNNNNNNNNNNNNNNNNNNNNNNNNNNNNNNNNNNNNNNNNNNNNNNNNNGUUUUGAGGGAACACUUAGGGUUGAGGGGAGCGGUGAGUCUUUUAUAAUACUCGGUAUGCGGUGGCCCCACCUAGAAGAAGGCAAUGAAGAAUUAUUUUUAUGUGUCGUAUGUCGGCUACAUUGUCAAGAAAACAGUAUGACAUGGCAGUAAGGUGGAAUAUGACAUGAGUUCUUCUUUCGAUUUUUCGACGGGUAGUCUGGUCCAACUUGCCUCAUAUGCAUGAUAAGCUUUACGAUCCUAAGGAACAUAUGACCCAACCAUUAGAAGUGGACGAUGAUGGUGGGGAUUGCAGACUAGGAGGGGAGUAUAAGAUAAUAAUUGCGGGAUGGGCGAUCUAGUGACACCAGUUCACACUAUUUUUCUUUGAAUGGGAAUGGUUGGAGUGUUAUAUUUUGUUAAGAUAUAUGUGAUAUGGUAAGCUUUUCAUUUCAUAGACACCAAGAGUUUACCAUUUCAAAUGGGACAAUCAACCUUCUUUGAAAGACUCCGGAAUCAAUCUAUUAAACUCAUUUGAGAGCUAAAUCAAACAUGUAGAGUUGUUAUAAGUUGUUGAGAAAAUGCAACAUACCAAAAACUUCCAAAAUUUGGAAUGUUAUGAAUUAUUAAUAAGUUAAUUUUCUCUAGGUUUUAGAACAUUUUAGAGGACUUGCUGAAACUUUCUGAGUAGAUGAACGUGGCUCUCUUAUAUAUCCUUGAUGAGAGGUUUACAACCAAGUUCCAACUUUGGUUUUGAGACACUAAAAUUGAAAGUGCUAGUUAUGGACUAGAGGGGGGGGGUGAAUAGGCGAUUUUCCUGAAAGUCUUCAAAACAAGCAAAGUUUUCGAAGACAUACGGUGAAAUAACACCUAAACAUGAUGCAGUGGAAGAUAAACUACACUAGCCAUGCCAUAAUCAAAUAAACAGUAUAGAGAGAAGCACGAAGACAAAUAGCAGCUAGGUAGAACAAAUCAGAAUGGGAAGACAAUAUGAAUCCAAAUACACAAUCAAAGUAGAAUGUAUUCACACAGUGAAUUCAAUGAAAGUAGGCAAGCAAUGACUUCACAAAGCUAAACAGUAAGUAAAGGGUGAAGUGAUAGAACCAAUAGCUUGACGAAGAUAAGGAUUUGGUAGACCAGUUUUAGUUGCUGUGACAACUGUACGUCUGGUUAGGGAGGCUGAGUUUGAACUCAGAAGACCACGUCUUCACCUUAUUCCCCUUGAGUUAAGGUCACCUAGUCCUCGCCCAAUCACUCAGGUAAGUCUUCAAGGUAGACUUCCAAACCUUCACAGACUUCGUUCACUGGCAAUCCACAAUGACUCUUGGAUUGUCGUCGGAAACCACGUCCACCUAUGCAGCCAUGAGCCCCUUUUGGUUUGGUAGGGGGAAUGAGCACGUUGCACAAAGAGUAGAGAACGUCGGGAAGCAUGACAGAGAUCACACGAGCAGUUUUUACCCAAGUUCAGGCCGCCGCAAGGCGUAAAACCCUACUCCUGCUUUGGUGGAUUGAUGGUGGACUGUGGUGGAGAACGCAGUGCUCUUGCCCGACAGGGUUGCCUUGGGGCAGGAGUAGCUACGCACGUAUGAGUGUAAAGGGGUGCGAAUCCUUUCUACGGUUGCCAUGUGCCUCCUUUUAUAGAUCAAGGGGUCACCAUAGUGGCAAAUCAGUCAUGAUGCACUGAUUAGACAGCUAACAGUGCUAUAUACCUAACUCUGCAGAUAGGGCAGAGCGCAUUAAAUGCGCCGCUUAGCAUCACAUCAUGGAAUGCCCAGCAAGCCUUGCCGGGCUGUUUUGCCACCUUCUUGCCUGUCUGCUUGACACGUUGCUGGACGGGUGUCAUUUGGAGGUGUUUUCCGUAGGAAGUGGCUUCCAUGUGGCAGAAAACAACCACUUAGUCACUUGGGGGAUUGACACUGCACCGUUCAAAGACUUGUGUCGCUGUGAGGUGGAGUGGUGGAGCCUUGGCGGGGUGGUUUGCCUUCGUUGUGCCCGGUAAGACUGCUGGGACGACCUUGAUGCUUACUCUUGGGGCCACCUCAACCUCACCUGGCUCGCCUGCCCGGCAAGGGAGGUUUUCUCUUAAUGAUAUCUUGCUUCCUUUGGCUUGACUUGGUCCUCUUGUUCUGCACUCUGACUUGUCAAAUAACUGAUCUCUUGUGCUUGGACUUGUUUUGGUCAUUUCAAUCUUGCUCUUUUAGGCCUGUGCACGGUCUGGGCAACAAACCAAGGGUUUGUUGCACAGACAGAAACCCUCGGGCCUGGCUCGAACGCACUGCCGUGCGUCAUCGGGGUAGGCCCUAACCAGUUCAUAUGCCAUAGGGGAGUAACUAUGCUUCUUCAUUAACCUGUGCCCAGGUCAGUUUCCGGUUCUCCGGCGCAUCGUGUAACACCAAUUUUAGCGGGACCAUUACAACCGUGAAUGACUUUAACGCAUGGGUGAGUAACUGCCAAUUCACUCUUCCCACCACACCCUUAUACUUGGACACAUAUGUUGCAUGCAUUGUGUGGGGUAGGUAGCGGAGGCGCGUGGUGCGGGAGAGCGUCAAGGCAGGGCCCCGACCUUCUUGGAUUGGUGGAGGGAUGGCGGUUACCCACCGGGGAUCUGCCCUUAGUCCAGCCUUGUCUAUAAAAGGAGGGGAGGGGGAGGAGCGGGAGUAUUCAUCUACACACCCCCUCCUCCUUUCAUUGCCUUCUUUCGGUUAUGCCGAAAGGGAGAGCCUGGGGCCAUGCACACCCUGGCCGUCUGGUUCUCUGGCCACUCCUCCAGGGAAGGCGAUGGGCCAGGAGCCCGAUGCCUCCCUAGAGUGGUGGUGAUGGAGAGAAAACGAGGGAAGAUGGAGAAGGCGGGUGGCAGGGCGUCAGGUCGGAGUACGAUGGUACUGAUGCCUUCAUCUCCUACUGGUGACCUGCCGCCUCAGCUUUUCGGUCUUCCCCUCCCUCCCCGACACCAUCAUCACCGGCCUCUUGGCUGUCGGGGAGGGGAUCGGUCUCUGGGUGCCUUCGCCUCCUCCAACAGUCUUCCACCUGAGCUUCGGCGGGUCCUUCCGCCGGCGCCCGUGCUGCGGCUUUUCGCUAGUCCAGUAGGUGGUGACCAGGGCAGCGCCGAGCUGCUCCUCCCGUCCCUCUCCUUCGCAGCCUCACCACUCCCGAUCUUGUCAGGCUGCGCUCGGCAAGCCUCUGACGAGACCGGGUGGGGCGUCCGCUUCUCUUCCCAUCAUAAUACCCAAGGGAGGAGGAACAAGAAGGGGGAUUACGGGGCACUUAUCUUUUUCAAUCUAAAACUUUUAGGCACUUGCCAAAUUUUAGUUCAAAUUAUGUAAUCUCUUUUAUCCAUGUUUGUGUUCUGUAAGAUGUGUACUCAUUGAUCAGCAUAUUAAUGAAAAAGAUAAACCUUGCUGGGUACCUGUGCAUGUAACAUGUCAAUGCAGAGGUGGGAUGCCUCUAUACAUUUAAGUAAACAAGUUUCCCCCGGUAGGCUAUCCUGCCAGUACCCUCAGUUUGUUGCCAUGGGGCUAGGCUUGCCGGGCAGAAAUUGUAAAGAGGGACCAGCCCCCCGCUAAACCCUUUCGUCAGAGGUGGCUGCGACCAUCCUGACCGAAGCAACAUUUGAGUCAAGGGAUUGGAGCACAUAAGUUUUAAAGGCAGCGAGGUUUUCCUAUGCACAAGUCCUGUCUACAGAACACGUAUGGAUAAAAGAUAGAAUUUAUCUGUUUGGCUUGCCGGGUAUCGCAACAUGGGCUCGUCUUCUCUUCUCUUCUUGAGACCAAGUCCACGGCAGGAGCCUGCAAUUUUGUGCAGAUGAAAAUGAUGCCACAUGCAAUCUUAUCUAUGUGAACAUACAUGCUCAUGAUAUGUGAUACGUCUCCAAUGUAUCUAUAAUUUAUGAAGCAUUCAUGCUAUUAUAUUAUCUGUUUUGGAUGUUUAUGGGCUUUAUUAUACACUUUUAUAUUAUUUUUGGGACUAACCUAUUAACCGAAGGCCCAACCCAUAUUGCUGUUUUCUUGCCUAUUUUAGUGUUUCGAAGAAAAGGAAUAUCAAACGGAGCCCAAACGGAAUGAAACCUUCAGGAGCGUUAUUUUUGAAACGGAAGCGAUCCAGGAGACUUGGAGUUGAAGUCAAGGAAGCUUCAAGGUGGCCACAAGGGUGGGGGGCACGCCCCCUACUGGGCGCGCCCCUGUCUCGUGGGCCCCUCGAGGCUCCCCCGACCGACUUCUUUCGCCUAUAUAUUCCCAUAUACCCUAAAACAUCAAAGACAAUAAUAGAUCGGGAGUUCCGCCGCCGCAAGCCUCUGUAGCCACCAAAAACCUCUCGGGAGCCCGUUCCGGCACCCUGCCAGAGGGUGGAUCCCUCACCGGUGGCCAUCUUCAUCAUCCCGGCGCUCUCCAUGACGAGGAGGGAGUAGUUCACCCUCGGGGCUGAGGGUAUGUACCAGUAGCUAUUUGUUUGAUCUCUCUCUCUCUCUCUCGUGUUCUCUCUAUGGCACGAUCUUGAUGUAUCGCGAGCUUUGCUACUAUAUUUGGAUCUUAUGAUGUUUCACCCCCUCUACUCUCUUGUAAUGGAUUGAGUUUUCCCUUUGAAGUUAUCUUGUCGGAUUGAGUCUUUAAGGAUUUGAGAACACUUGAUGUAUGUCUUGCCGUGCUUAUCUAUGGUGACAAUGGGAUAUUCACGUGAUCCACUUGAUGUAUGUUUUGGUGAUCAACUUGCGGGUUCCGCCCAUGAACCUAUGCAUAGGGGUUGGCACAAGUUUUCGUCUUGACUCUCCGGUAGAAACUUUGGGGCACUCUUUGAAGUACUUUGUGUUGGUUGAAUAGAUGAAUCUGAGAUUCUGUGAUGCAUAUCGUAUAAUCAUGCCCAGAGAUACUUGAGGUGACAAUGGAGUAUCUAGGUGACAUUAGGGUCUUGGUUGAUUUGUGUCUUAAGGUGUUAUUCUAGUAUGAACUCUAUGAUAGAUUGAACGGAAAUAAUAGCUUCAUGUUAUUUUACUACGGACUCUUGAAUAGAUAGAGCAGAAAUGAUAACUUUGAGGUGGUUUCGUACCCUACCAUAAUCUCUUCGUUUGUUCUCCGCUAUUAGUGGCUUUGGAGUGACUCUUUGUUGCACGUUGAGGGAUAGUUAUAUGAUCCAAUUAUGUUAUUAUUGUUGAGAGAACUUGCACUAGUGAAAGUAUGAACCCUACCCUUGUUUCCUACCAUUGCAAUAUCGUUUACGCUUACUUUUAUCAUUAGUUAUCUUGCUGUUUUUAUAUUUUCAGAUUACAAAAAUCUAUAUCUAGUAUCCAUAUUGCACUUGUAUCACCAUCUCUUCGCCGAACUAGUGCACCUAUACAAUUUACCAUUUUAUUGGGUGUGUUGGGGACACAAGAGACUCUUUGUUAUUUGGUUGCAGGGUUGCUUGAGAGAGACCAUCUUCAUCGUACACCUCCCACGGAUUGAUAAACCUUAGGUCAUCCACUUGAGGGAAAUUUGCUACUGUCCUACAAACCUCUACACUUGGAGGCCCAACAACGUCUACAAGAAGAAGGUUGUGUAGUAGACAUCAAGCUCUUUUCUGACGCCGUUGCCGGGGAGGUGAGUGCUUGAAGGUAUAUCUUUAGAUCUUGUAAUCGAAUCUUUUUGUUUCUUGUUUUAUCACUAGUUUAGUCUAUAAAAGAAAGAAAUGGAAUUGAGUUUGUCUCAUACACUUCAUCUUUUUAGUAUCUUUCGUAAGUAUGAUGAAAAGGAAAAUUGUGCUCAAGUUCUAGAAGAAGAAGUCUAUAAAAUGUUUGAUACUAAAUCUUUGAAUGAUGAGCAUGAUUGCAAUGCUGUUAGUAUGAAUUCCUUGAAUAUUCAUGAUGCUAAUGAUAUGCAAAGCCACAAGCUUGGGGAUGCUAUGUUUGAUGAAGAUGAUAUGUUUAGUCCCCCAAGUUUUGACGAGAAUAUUUAUUAUGAUGAUAGCAUGCCUCUUACCUAUGAUGAUUAUAUUGAUCAAAGUGGGUUUGGAAGAGUGUCAACUUUAGGAAGUAAUGAUCCCACUAUUUUGUAGGAUGUGAAUCUUAUUGUGAUGAAUAUGAAAGUGGAUUUGGAAGAGUGUCAACUUUAUUUAGUGAUGAUUCCACUAUUUUGGAAGAGGUUUCAAUUGAUUAUGAUGAGAACCAAAUUGCUACUUAUGAUGAUUAUUGUGAUGAAACUUAUGCUAUAAAAAGUAGUGAUGAUUAUAUUUAUAAAACUUGUCAUGAUUAUGAUUACCCUUUUCUGAACAUUACUCUUUUAUUGUGGAAACAAUUUUUAGUAUUCAAGUCUCUUAUGAUACUCUCACUAUUUCGAAUGAGAAGAAUUUUGCUUAUGUGGAGAGUAGUAAAUUUUAUAUGCUUGUAGAUCAUGAAAAGAAUGCUUUAGGUGCUGGUUAUAUUGUUGAAUUCAUUCAUGAUGCUACUGAAAAUUAUUAUGAGGGAGGAACAUAUGCUUGUAGGAAUUGCAAUAAUGUCAAGUUUCCCCUCCACGUGUUGAAUAUCUUGAAGCUAUGCUUGUUUUGCCUUCCUAUGCUAGUUGAUCAUUGUUCCCAUAAAUUGUUUGCUCAAAAAAUUCCUAUGCAUAGGAAGUGGGUUAGACUUAAAUGUGUUAGCAUAUUCUUCAUGAUGCUCUCUUUAUGUUUCAAUUCUUAUCUUUUAUGUGAGCAUCAUUGUCAUCAUCAUGCCUAGCUAAAAAGGCAUUAAAGAAAAGCGCUUGUUGGGAGACAACCCAAUAUUUAUCCUUACUGUUUUUGUGUGUCCACAUGAUUAUGCUACUGUAGUAAUCAUGUUUUAUAGCUUUUGUUUCAAUAAAGUGCCAAGUAAGACCUUUAGGAUAGCUUACGGUGAUACUUGUGUUGAUCCUGCUGAAAAUCAGAAACUUUUGCAUCCAGUAAAUUAGUUUUGAUAAUUAACAGAAACGUGCUUUUGAUCUGAUUCUUUUUGCUCUGGAUUGGUACACAAAUUGCUUAGGACUUCCUAAUGUGGUAGAAUUUUUGGAGUUCCAGAAGUAUACGCUUGAUACAGAUUACUACAGACUGUUCUGUUUUUGACACAUUCUGUUUUCUAUGUGUUGUUUGCUUAUUUUGAUGAAUCUAUGAGUAGUAUCGAAGGGUAUGAACCAUAGAUAAGUUGGAGUAAAGUAGAUAUUACACCAAUAUAAAUGUAGAAUGAGUUCACUACAGUACCUAAGUGGUGGUUUUAUUUUCUUAUACUAACGGAGCUUACGAGUUUUCUGUUGAGUUUUGUGUUGUGAAGUUUUCAAGUUUUGGGUAAAGAUUCGAUGGACUAUGGAAUAAGGAGUGGUAAGAGCCUAAGCUUGGGGAUUCCCAAGGCACCCCAAGUUAAUAUUUAAGGACAACCAAGAUCCUAAGCUUGGGGAUGCCCCGGAAGGCAUCCCCUCUUUCGUCUUCGUUCAUCGGUAACUUUACUUGGAGCUAUAUUUUUAUUCACCACAUGAUAUGUGUUUUGCUUGGAGCAUCAUUUUAUUUUGUUAGUAUUUGUUGCUGUUAUUUAUAAUAAUGUUUUGCAUCUUUAGUUUCAAUAAAAAUGUCAAGGAUAGCCUUUACCAUGCUUAUUUUGCUAGUAUACAUGUUGCUGUUUGAAAACAGAAAGUUUACCACUGUUGGAAAAAUUCCCUAGAAAAGUCAGAGAAUGGUAUAAUGUUGAAACAUUUUGCAUAAUGAGAUCUGAUAAAUCUUCUACAGCGUAUAUUUUUCUCAUAAUUUUUGGAGUUAGGGAAGUAUGAUGAAUCUUGCAUUCUUUACAGACUGUACUGUUUUGGCAGAUUGCUGUUAUGUUUGCAUUAUUUGCAUAUGUUUGCUUGUUUAAUGAUUCUAUUUGAGGAUAGGAGUAUUAAAUAUGCAGAGAAAUUUAGUAUGCAAUGUGUAACAAUAAUUUUAGUGAUUUGUUACAGUAGACAAUGAUAAGGUUUUGCAUUGGUUUAUACUAACUUAUCUCACGAGUUAUUGUUGAGUUUGGUGCGGAUGAAGCUUUCGAGAUUUAGGAAACCGAGAUAUAAAAGGAAUUAAGGAGACACAAAAGCUCAAGCUUGGGGAUGCCCAAGGCACCCCAAGAUAAUAUUUCAAGAAGUCUCUAGCAUCCAAGCUUGGGGAUGCCCCGGUAGGCAUCCCACCUUUUUUCUUCAACAACUAUCGGUUAGUAUCGGUUGAGCCUAAGUUUUUGCUUCUUCACAUGAGUUGUGCCAUCCUUGCAAUGUCAUUGUAUUUUGCUUUGCUUGCUGUUUGAAUAAAAUACCAAGAUCUGAAAUUCUUAAAUGAGAGGGAGUCUUCACAUAGUUACACAAUUAUUUAGCUACUCAUUGAUCUUCACUUAUAUCUUUUUGGAGUAGUUUGUCAUUUACUCGUGUGCUUCACUUAUAUCCUAUGAGUAAAUGGUUGAAUGAGUUGAAUGUCAUAAAUCUGAAAUUAUAUAUGUUUCAUUUGCUUAUCCCAUGGGGAGUAAUGACUUCACAUCUAAGAAGUAGAGGUUGUAAAUUUAUUGAAGGUUAGCAAGCAUUGUAUUGGUCAUUUGAACAAUUCAUGAAAGAAUAUUGAAGGAAGAGAAAUUUCACAUAUAAAUAUACUAUCUUGGACUUCUUUUAUAAUUGUGAGCACUCAUUAAGUAUGACAUGCUAAAGAGUUGAUGUUGGACAAGGAAGACAAUGUAAUGGGUUAUGUUUUCUCACAUCUCAAUUAAAGUAUAUUGUCAUGGAUCAUUCAAACAUGUUGAGCUUUCCGUUCCCCCUCAUGCUAGCCAAAAUUCCUUGCACCAAGUAGAGAUACUACUUAUGCUUCCAAAUAUCCUUAAACCCAGUUUUUGCCAUGAGAGUCCACCAUACCUACCUAUGGAUUGAGUAAGAUCCUUCAAGUAAGUUAUCAUGUUGCAAGCAAUAAAAAUUGCUCUCUAAAUAUGUAUGACUUAUUAGUGCGGAUAAAAUAAGCUUUAUACGAUCGUGUGAUAUGGAAGUAAUAAAAGCGACAGACUGCAUAAUAAAGGUUCAUAUCACAAGUGGCAAUAUAAAGUGAAGUUCUUUUGCAUUAAGAUUUUGUGCAUCCAACCCUAAAAGCACAUGACAACCUCUGCUUCCCUCUGCGAAUGGCCUAUCUUUUACCUUAUGUCUUUUACUUUAUGCAAGAGUCAAGGUGAUCUUCACCUUUCCCUUUUUCAUUUUAUCCUUUGGCAAGCACCUCGUGUUGGAAAGAUCCUGAUAUAUAUAUAUCCAAUUGGAUGUAAGUUAGCAUGAACUAUUAUUGUUGACAUCACCCAAAGGUGAAUACGUUGGGAGGCAACACUAUAAGCCCCUAUCUUUCUCAGUGUCCGAUUAAAAUUCCAUAACCAUAAGUAUUGCGUGAGUGUUAGCAAUUGUAGAAUACUAUAUGAUAGUUGAGUAUGUGGAGUUUGCUAAAUCAAAGCUCUGACAUAGACCCUUCUUGAAAAUAAGAUGAAUUGCAAUUGUUUGAUGACUGAGAACAUAUUUUGCUAGUUUUUAAGAAAGUUUAUGGUCUAUGCUUUAAUAUGUGAAUAGCUUGUUACUUGAUCUUGAGAAGUUUUAUGAGAUGAACUACUAUUAUGACAUAUAAUCAUGCUAUAAAGGUGAUUGAAAUUAUCAUUGAUCAAACUUUUGCACCUGCUAGCAUUCACACUUCAUAAAUUCUUUCUUUUAUCAUUUACCUACUCGAGGACGAGCAUGAAUUAAGCUUGGGGAUGCUGAUACGUCUCCAACAUAUCUAUAAUUUAUGAAGCAUUAAUGCUAUUAUAUUAUCUGUUUUGGAUGUUUAUGGGCUUUAUUAUGCACUUUUAUAUUAUUUUUGGGACUAACUUAUUAACCGGAGGCCCAUCCCAUACUGCUGUUUUCUUGCCUAUUUCAGUGUUUCGAAGAAAAGGAAUAUCAAACAGAGUCCAAACGGAAUGAAACCUUCGGGAGCGUUAUUUUUGGAACGGAAGCGAUCCAGGAGACUUGGAGUUGAAGUCAAGGAAGCUUCGAGGUGGCCGCGAGGGUGGGGGCGCGCCCCCUACUAGGCGCGCCCCCUGUCUCAUGGGCCCCUCGAGGCUCCCCCGACCGACUUCUUUCGCCUAUAUAUUCCCAUAUACCCUAAAAACAUCAAAGACAACAAUAGGUCGGGAGUUCCGCCGUCGCAAGCCUCUAUAGCCACCAAAAACCUCUCGGGAGCCCGUUCCGGCACCCUGCCAGAGGGGGGAUUCCCCACCAGUGGCCAUCUUCAUCAUCCCGGCACUCUCCAUGACGAGGAGGGAGUAGUUCACCCUUGGGGCUGAGGGUAUGUACCAGUAGCUAUGUGUUUGAUCUCUCGCUCUCUCUCUCUCUCUCUCUCUCUCUCUCUCGUGUUCUCUCUAUGGCACGAUCUUGAUGUAUCACGAGCUUUGCUACUAUAUUUGGAUCUUAUGAUGUUUCUCCCCCUCUACUCUCUUGUAAUGGAUUGAGUUUUCUCUUUGAAGUUAUCUUAUCGGAUUGCGUCUUUAAGGAUUUGAGAACACUUGAUGUAUGUCUUGCCAUGCUUAUCUGUGGUGACAAUGGGAUAUUUACGUGAUCCACUUGAUGUAUGUUUUGGUGAUCAACUUGCGGGUUCCGCCCAUGAACCUAUGCAUAGGGGUUGGCACACAUUUCCGUCUUGACUCUCCGGUAGAAACUUUGGGGCACUCUUUGAAGUACUUUGUGUUGGUUGAAUAGAUGAAUCUGAGAUUGUGUGAUGCAUAUCGUAUAAUCAUGCCCACGGAUACUCGAGGUGACAAUGGAGUAUCUAGGUGACAUUAGGGUUUUGGUUGAUUUGUGUCUUAAGGUGUUAUUCUAGUAUGAAAUCUAUGAUAGAUUCAACGGAAAUAAUAGCUUCAUGUUAUUUUACUACGGACUCUUGAAUAGAUAGAGCAGAAAGGAUAACUUUGAGGUGGUUUCGUACCCUACCAUAAUCUCUUCGUUUGUUCUCCGCUAUUAGUGGCUUUGGAGUGACUCUUUAUUGCAUGUUGAGGAAUAGUUAUAUGAUCCAAUUAUGUUAUUAUUGUUGAGAGAACUUUCACUAGUGAAAGUAUGAACCCUAGGCCUUGUUUCCUACCAUUGCAAUACCGUUUACGCUUACUUUUUUCAUUAGUUACCUUGCUAUUUUUAUAUUUUCAGAUUACAAAAACCUAUAUCUACUAUCCGUAUUGCACUUGUAUCACCAUCUCUUCGCCGAACUAGUGCACCUAUACAAUUUACCAUUGUAUUGGGUGUGUUGGGGACACAAGAGACUCUUUGUUAUUUGGUUGCAGGGGUGCUUGAGAGAGACCAUCUUCAUCCUAUGCCUCCCACGGAUUGAUAAACCUUAGGUCAUCCACUUGAGGGAAAUUUGCUACUGUCCUACAAACCUCUGCACUUGGAGGCCCAACAACGUCUACAAGAAGAAGGUUGUGUAGUAGACAUCAAUAUGCUUAUGCAUGCAUGCAAUUUGUUGGGUGCCCCCAGCGCUUCAUUUUUUUCUCUGUUGCUCAGGGUCUACAUCUGGCUUUGUACAAGGGGUUACAUGCAAAUGAGGCAAGGCCUGUACAAAAGGGUGGCUGCCGGGAAGGGCCCGACUGCUGUGCCUUACGGGUAGAACUUGCGGAGAUGCUCAACGUUCCAUGAGUUUUGUGAUUUUGUGCCAUCUCCAGUCUCCAGACGGACUGUGGCAGGUCUGGUGACUCGUACUACCCGGUAAGGGCCUUCCCACUUUGGCGUCAACUUGUUUGCACCUUUGGCGGACUGAACCCGCCUAAGGACAAGGUCGCCGUCCUCAAAACACUGGGCAUGAACCCUGCGGCUGUGAUAGCAACGUAGGGCUUGUUGAUAGCGUGCAACACGCGUAGCAGCCCGGAGACGGUUCUCCUCGAGUAGCACAGCAUCGUCACACCAAUGCUGUUCCUGCGCUACUUCAUCGUAGGCAAGCACUCAAGGUGACCCGUAAAUGAGUUCCGUGGGGAUAACUGCUUCUGCCCCGUAUACCAGGGAGAAGGGAGUCUGCCCAAUAGCUCGAUUUAGUGUCGUUCUAAGGGACCAAAUAACCACCAGCAGCUCGUCGGUCCACCGCCUGCCACACUUCUGCAGCUUAUCAAAUGUUCUCGUCUUGAGUCCCCGCAACACUUCAGCAUUCGCCCUCUUAGCUUAUCCGAUGCUCUUUGGGUGAGCAACAGAGGCGAACGAGAUCUUGGUUCCGAGGGCAUGAACGUAUUGCAUGAAGGAGCGGCUCGUGAAUUGGGUGCCAUUGUUAGUGAUGAUCCGAGCUGGGACUUCGAAGCGGCACACAAUCCUUUCAAGAACUCGAUAGCUAACUGAGGAGUCACCUUUUUCACGGGCUCUACUUCCGGCCACUUUGUAAACUUGUCGAUUGCAAUGAACAAGAAUUCAAAACCCCCGACAACAUGACAAAGGGAUUAUCUGAAGAGCUUGGGCAUGCAGGUGGAUAUUCUUGGAAUGGAACUAGCAGGCUUCAUGUGACCAACUCAACUGCAUCUUGGAGGGCUGUGGGCCAGUAAAAUCCUUGCCGGAAGGCCUUCCCAACCAGAGCCCUCGAUCCGAUGUGUGAGCCGCACAUGCCCUUAUGUAUUUGUGCCAGCAGUUCCUUUCCUUCUUCCCGGCAAAUGCACUUCAAUUUCACACUGUUGGGCCUUCUUCUAUACAACGUGUCAUCCUUGAGCGAGAUUGAUUUGAAACUGAAAUUUUACAUGUUUGCAGAACAUCAAACUGUCCAACACACUGUAUUUUUUUCCUGAAUUUUUGAGAGAUUGUUUCCAGCAGCUAUCUGUUGCUACUUGCAAUUGUUACUAAAAAGCUAAGCGUUUGGAGCUAGGAGUUAUCUAAGCAUUUCAGAACUCAUACUCAUCAGAUGUGUGCAAUAUGACCAUGAAACAUUCACAACUGUAUUAUCACAAAGCAUAAUCCAAUUACAAAAGCAAAUAACUUGACCACACCCAGGGUCCAUCCAUCAUCCAAUUAGACUAAAAAGUUCAACAACAAGAUAGGAGCGAAAGGCUAAGCAAUUGGAAACAGUAGAGAAAACUAAGCAUUUGGAGGUGGGGAGCGAAAGGCUAAGAAUUUAAGCUGGUUGGCAUUUGAAAUGGCAAGCGACACUCUAGUUUGAUGGGCUUGCUGGACCACUAGAGGACCCACUCGCAGAAUCACUCAAUUCAGUAGCACCUAGAGUUCCACCAGCCACAUCCUGUUUGAUCUCCUCUUUUUCAUCAGCUGCAAACCUUCCAAUGACCACCUGCACAUCAGUACAACAAAAUGCAAACCAUUAAGAGAAAGCACAAGGUUCUCAAUUGCAAUAUAUGUGUGUUCUCGUGAAACGAUGCUAUUUCCCAAACAAGCUAUGUACCAUAAAAAGAAGCACAUCAUGAUUUUCAGAAGGAAUAUUAAUACUUACAAUGUAAAUCAUUUGGCAGCACACAUUUUGUUUUCGAAACGUAGGAAGCACAUAUAGACUUAAGAAAUGCUUAAACAAACAGAGCAAGAUACAAUGGAAGCUAUUGGUAUAUAUGGAACAAAGAUCUUAGUUGGUCUUUUUGUAAUCUGCUAUUGGUAUAUAUGGAGCAAGAUACAAGUGAAAGAUGGUAACCUGAACAGGUGAUGCUGCAAUCAGAGGUCCUGCUAACCCACCGCCGAAGAUGCGGCCAUCAGCACCGACAAGCGAAAUGGCGAACCAACCCUUUAGAGAGCUCACUCCAUUAGUUUUUGACGGCAGAUACGAGCCGGUCAUAGAGAUAAUGUCAAAACAAUCCUGCAUAUUACAUGCUAAGGAUUAGAUAUUGUUUAAAGUUGGUAACAAAUCUAGAGGCCAAACAACGAUAUCAUUUUUAGAAGACCAGAACUACAAAACACUAUGUUUCCCUUGCGAUAUUUCCUAUGUUGGUAAAGAAAACAAUUCAACCUCAUAGCUCCCUGAACUGCACAUUUUUUGCAUGCUUCACUUUUUGUUAUUGCUGAAUUUGUUUUUCUCAUAGCUCCCUGAGCGAGAUUGAUUUGAAACUGAAAUUUUACAUGUUUGCAGAACAUCAAACUGUCCAACACACUGUAUUUUUUUUAGAAUUUUUGAGAGAUCAUUUCCAGGAGAUAGUUUCUCUGGACUUAUGAGCAGUCAUCAGUUGCUACCUGCAAUUGAUACUGAAAAAGCUAAGUGUUUGGAGCUAGGAGUUAUCUAAGCAUUUCAGAACUGAUACACAUCAGAUGUGUAGGAGUUACCUAAGCAUUUCAGAACCGGUAAUCAUCAGAUGUGUGCAAUAUGACCAUGAAAUGUUUCAUUAACUAUAAUAUCAUGAAGCAUCAUCCAGUUACAGAAAACAUAACUUGACCACAUCGAGGGGCCAUACAUCAUAUAACGAGACUGAAAAGUUCAACAAGUACGAGCAGAAAGCUAAGCAUUUGGAAAUAAUAGCAGGAAUGAAAAGCUAGGAAUUUAAGCUGGCUGGCAUCUGGAAAUAGGAAGCUGGUGUUGAAUGUGCGAGCGGCACUCUAGUUUGAUGGGCUUGCUGGACCACUAGAGGAUCCAGUCGCAGAAUCACUCGAUUCAGUAGCACCUGGAGUUCCACUGGCCACAUCCUGUUUCAUCUCCUCUUUUUCAUCAGCUGCAAACCUUCCAAUGACCACCUGCGCAUCAGCACAACAAAAUGCAAACCAUUAAGAGAAAGCACAAGGUUCUCAAUUGCAAUAUGUGCGUUUUUCGUGAAACGAUGCUAUUUCCUGAACAAGCUAUGUACCAUAAAAAGGAAGCACAUCAUGAUUUUCAGUAGGAAUGUUAAUACGCAUAAUAAUGCAAAUCAUUUGGCAGCAGACAUUUUGUUUUCGAAACAUAGGAAGCACAUAUAGACUUAAAAAAUACUUACACAAAUAGAGCAAGAUACAAUGGAAACUAUUGGUUAUAUAUGGAACAAAGAUCUUAGUUGGUCGUUUGGUAAUCUGCUAUUGGUAUAUAUGGAGCAAGAUACAAGUGAAAGAUGGUAACCUGAACAGGUGACGCUGCAAUCAGAGGUCCGGCUAACCCACCACCGAAGAUGCGGCCAUCAGCACCGACAAGCGAAAUAGCGAACCCACCUUUUAGAGUGCUAACUCCAUCAGUUUUUGACGGCAGAUACGAGCCGGUCAUAGAGACAAUGUCAAAACAACCCUGCAUAUUACAUGCUAAGGAUUAGAUAUUUUUUAAAGUUGGUAACAAAUCUAUAGGCCAAACAACGAUAUCAUUUUUAGAAGACCAGAACUACAAAACGCUAUAUUUCCCUUGCGAUAUUCCCUAUGUUGGUAAAGAAAACAAUUCAAUCUCUCUAACUACUAUCUCACAUUUCAUUUUACUUUUAUAAUUCUCUUAAUUUGGUUGAAGCUGAACUUUUAUUUUGAAAACAUGCCAGAGAAAAGGGAUUUCUAGUGUACAGAUUCCAAGCUAAAACAAUAGAGCAAACCUCAUGAAUAACUAUUUCAAGGGGAGAAGCUGGUUGAUGCAGUGUCACGUUGGAAACGGCGCCCUCGGCAGAUAUGAUAAAAAAUGCCCAACCAUUCCCACCAUACGACUUGACUUCCAUUGCUACAUCCUGAAACCAUGGGUUCCUUAUUAGAAUUUUACAAUAUAUGCAUAUAUGGGGUGGAAUAGAGAACUUAUCAAAAAGAUGCGAAAGACAAUAAAAAACGGGAAAAGAGAAGGACAACACCAAGCUCUCUUCAACACAUUGUAGGAUGGAUAUAGACAUAACCAGUUGAAAAAAUGUGCUGAAUAAUAAAUCAAGAAAGAGACAAAUGUUAUCUCCAAAUUUUACACAAAUAAGCAUUGCUAUCCCGAUAUUUUUUCUCCGUUUCUGGUCCGAGUCCGAUCCGGAUCCGGUCAUUAUCCAGUCCGCUUCGAAUCCAAAAAAAAUAAAUAUGGUAAAGGAUAUGGGGAAAUCAUUACUAAUCCGAUCCGAUCCGUUUNNNNNNNNNNNNNNNNNNNNNNNNNNNNNNNNNNNNNNNNNNNNNNNNNNNNNNNNNNNNNNNNNNNNNNNNNNNNNNNNNNNNNNNNNNNNNNNNNNNNNNNNNNNNNNNNNNNNNNNNNNNNNNNNNNNNNNNNNNNNNNNNNNNNNNNNNNNNNNNNNNNNNNNNNNNNNNNNNNNNNNNNNNNNNNNNNNNNNNNNNNNNNNNNNNNNNNNNNNNNNNNNNNNNNNNNNNNNNNNNNNNNNNNNNNNNNNNNNNNNNNNNNNNNNNNNNNNNUAAAAAUAUAUAUCAAGUGCAAGUCAUUUCAAUAUAAAUAUGUACAACACACAUAGCGUUAAUUAGAGGCAACUUUGCUCAAUUUUUUUCUAAUAUUUAACACUAAAUACAUCCACAAAAUAAACUUUAUAUUUUUCUAAAAGGAACCACCUUCAAUUGGACAUUCUAAUAUCUAGUAUCCAGAUACUACAACGAAAUAUUAAUAGAGCACUGAAUGUCUCUAGGAGCAUUAUAAGAGUAGGAAAAUUUUACCUGUCCACCUUGAACUGUGAUGAUUUGAGGAACUAUUUCAGCCGCACAUGGCUCUGCCAGAUAAAAAAUCCAUUUCAAAUUAGAAUUUUUUUGGGAAGUAUAUUGUAAUUAAUGCUGGCAAACUGAUGAUAGCACUCAUGUGCAUGCGCCUAUAAACAGUACUACAUGAUAUGAAAUAAACAAACAUCCUAGAAAUAUAAUUUCAAAGCUUCAAGGAAUACGCCGGGUGGCUCAGAGCUCGUGUAGCGCCAUUGCGACCAUUGCAAGCUGCGGGACACGAUGAACAUGUUGCACGAGUAGGAAGAGCUACCUUGUUCAGCAUCGGCCAGGCGGGCGCCGACGGUGGGUUGUGGCUGUGGAUGAAGUGGACUCUUGGGCAAUCCAGCGCCAUAGGCCGCCUUGCCCGCACCCGCCGGGACGGCUCCUCCUUCCAUUGCCUUACGAGCACAACAAACACACAGACACAAACAAAAGGAAACCCUCACUUGUUUUACUGGUAACUCGAUGCCUGGAAAUGCACAAACCCAGGUCUUUUUAUAGGGCAGUGGGUGGGAUGCGAUUUUGACUUGGGUAUUCUUUGGGGUGCCUUUAGAUUCAUUAAUUACUUGCUUCCUUUUGGUUCUAGGAGGAUGUAUUUUUUGGAAAUUUCUUGAUUGGUCAUUGUGGAUGUGUUCAGAACUUCAGAUGAUGAGCUAGGUUAUUUUCUUCCUAUUUUUUGGAUUUUCAAACGCAAACAUGACAGAACUAUAAAUGAAAAAUCUAAAGUUGGCAAAACAAUUAAUGAAACUCCAAAGAUGGCACAUCAGUACUAAAUGAAAUCCCAAAGAUGGAUAACAAUAAAUGAGAAAAAAAUCCAAAGAUAACCCUAUCUUUGGAUUUUCAUUCAUUGUUUGCCAUAUUUAGAUUUUCAUUUAUUACUUGCUAUCUUUGGAUUUUGAUUUAUUGCUAUGCCAUUUUUUGAAUUUCAUUUAUGUUGUGCGAUAUUUGGACUUUUCAUUUAUUAUUAUGCCAAAUUUGGAUUUUCAUUUAUUAUUAUGACAUUUUUGGAUUUUUAAUUGUUGUUGUGGACUUUGGAUUUUUAUGGGCAUUCCUCCGCUUGAGUCUACCAAUUGCUAUCUUUUCAAGUGGGCCGUGUUUCGAUUUACAAUGCGUGAAUGAUAUGUUAGAGGGGUGGGUUUACCAUCCACUCAAGCCGACUUUAUACAUGACAUGGUUUAGGUUCUAAAUGAACAGAAUUUUUCGUAGUAAUCGUGUAUCUUCAUUACCAACUAACAAGUGCACACAAAACACACUAAAGACUACUAGAGACCGAGAGAAGGCAUGCGAAUUGGAUUUUUUCCAGCAAAGCCCCCACAAAAUAGAAAAAUAAUAUCAGGUGCUUUAGGGGUCGUUGCACACACCACAAGUCCACGACCAUGGUCUGCCAACAACCAAUCACAACCGAGGUGCUCAUUGGAAGAGAAACCAAGCCUCCACUGCCAAAACUGAGGAAUUGCUAUCACUAGAGAGAAUUUGAAAGACCAAGAAUACACAUGUUGCAAGUAGUGAGGCACAUUGGUUGUGGAACAAUCCCACGUUGACUUGGGCUUAGAUCUAUCUAUAUAUCGGCCCAAUGAUAUUCUGGAAGAACGCUAGAUUUGCCAACUUUGAACCACCAUCGCUCCAAAGCCACUAUUGAUUUCCUCUCGGUUGCUUGCCUCCGAGAGGCAACAAAUUCCAUCAACAAACUGAAAAACAAAUCUCGCUACCUAAUAGUACGAUGAGCCCACUAGGCCACCAGAUCUUUCAAGUCACCAUCGUGGGAGCGUUGGAUGCGCUGGGGGGGGGGAUUCACGUUUUCAACCGAAUUUUCUAGAUAGAAGGGGAGAGAGUGAAAUAAAGACCUGAAAACAUAAGAAUUGGAUCGAGUAGGUGUUCUAAUGCUAGAAAAAAAACUACUCCAUCGGUCAAUGACCUUACUCUUCACUACCUCCAUGACAGGUCGUUGCAAUAUUCCACAAUACAAAUAAAGAGAUGCAAAAGAGUAAGGAUCUCACCAAGUUUAUAAUGUUGCCGAAGAUAUUGGAGGUGGCACCCUUCGUUAAUUUCGUAAUAUGAUCAUUGGUGAGAUGAUCCGCCAUGAGAUUAGCAAUCUCUGAAUCAAAUAUCUAAUCAUUAAUGAGUUGAUCCACCAUGCGCUUGUCCGCCCUUGAACUCAACAAUUUGAUUGCAGAGACAAUGUUUUAUGUGGUUGUCCACCUUGUGCUCACAACCAUUAUGACGGGUGGAUCUACGUUGUACUGACAUAGUUAAACUAGGAGAGUGGAUUCUUUUGAGAUGCAAGGAAGAAGUGACUUCGUCGGAACUUAGAUAGGGAUGGAGGUGGUGUUAGAGUCGAGAUUGAAAGUGGAGAACAGAAGGUUUGUGGCGAGACAUUAG
rnacentral:lncRNA from 1 species